GGGUCUAAAGCUCAUACGGUAUGAACGGUCAACUCAUAAAUGAAAGGUAGCUGAUUCGAGUCCAGCUAGACCCACCA
rnacentral:tRNA from 1 species